UACGGGGGGGGGCAAGCGUUGUUCGGAAUUACUGGGCGUAAAGGGCGCGUAGGCGGUCUACUAAGUUGGAUGUGAAAACUCUGGGCUUAACCCAGAGCCUGCAUUCAAAACUGAUAGGCUGGAGUUCUGGAGGGGAUAGCGGAAUUCCUGGUGUAGCGGUGAAAUGCGUAGAUAUCAGGGGGAACACCGGUGGCGAAGGCGGCUAUCUGGACAGAAACUGACGCUGAGGCGCGAAAGCUAGGGGAGCAAACAGGG
rnacentral:rRNA from 1 species